rnacentral:rRNA from 1 species
CGCUAGCGGCAGGCUUAACACAUGCAAGUCGAGGGGUAUAGUUCUUCGGAAUUAGAGACCGGCGCACGGGUGCGUAACGCGUUAUGGCAAUCUACCUUUCACAAAGGGAUAGCCCAGAGAAAUUUGGAUUAAUACCUUAUAGUAAAUACGACUUGGCAUCAAGAUGUAUUUAAAGAUUUAUCGGUGAAAGAUGAGCAUGCGUCCCAUUAGCUAGAUGGUAAGGUAACGGCUUACCAUGGCUACGAUGGGUAGGGGUCCUGAGAGGGAGAUCCCCCACACUGGUACUGAGACACGGACCAGACUCCUACGGGAGGCAGCAGUGAGGAAUAUUGGUCAAUGGACGCAAGUCUGAACCAGCCAUGCCGCGUGCAGGAUGACGGUCCUAUGGAUUGUAAACUGCUUUUGUACGAGAAGAAACAACAUUACGUGUAAUGUCUUGACGGUAUCGUAAGAAUAAGGAUCGGCUAACUACGUG